rnacentral:rRNA from 1 species
CGCACGUUUUCCGGAUUAUUGGGCGUAAGAGCUCGUAGGCGGUUUGUCGCGUCUGCCGUGAAAGUCCGGGGCUCAACUCCGGAUCUGCGGUGGGUACGGGCAGACUAGAGUGAUGUAGGGGAGACUGGAAUUCCUGGUGUAGCGGUGAAAUGCGCAGAUAUCAGGAGGAACACCGAUGGCGAAGGCAGGUCUCUGGGCAUUAACUGACGCUGAGGAGCGAAAGCAUGGGGAGCGAACAGGAUUAGAUACCCUGGUAGUCCAUGCCGUAAACGUUGGGCACUAGGUGUGGGGGACAUUCCACGUUUUCCGCGCCGUAGCUAACGCAUUAAGUGCCCCGCCUGGGGAGUACGGCCGCAAGGCUAAAACUCAAAGGAAUUGACGGGGGCCCGCACAAGCGGCGGAGCAUGCGGAUUAAUUCGAUGCAACGCGAAGAACCUUACCAAGGCUUGACAUGGGCCGGACCGGGCUGGAAACAGUCCUUCCCCUUUGGGGCCGGUUCACAGGUGGUGCAUGGUUGUCGUCAGCUCGUGUCGUGAGAUGUUGGGUUAAGUCCCGCAACGAGCGCAACCCUCGUUCCAUGUUGCCAGCGCGUAAUGGCGGGGACUCAUGGGAGACUGCCGGGGUCAACUCGGAGGAAGGUGGGGACGACGUCAAAUCAUCAUGCCCCUUAUGUCUUGGGCUUCACGCAUGCUACAAUGGCCGGUACAAAGGGUUGCGAUACUGUGAGGUGGAGCUAAUCCCAAAAAGCCGGUCUCAGUUCGGAUUGGGGUCUGCAACUCGACCCCAUGAAGUCGGAGUCGCUAGUAAUCGCAGAUCAGCAACGCUGCGGUGAAUACGUUCCCGGGCCUUGUACACACCGCCCGUCAAGUCACGAAAGUUGGUAACACCCGAAGCCGGUGGCCUAACCCCUUGUGGGAGGGAGCUGUCGAAGUGGGACUGGCGAUUGGGACUAAGUCGUAACAAGGUAAC